UGCUUUCAUCUACAUAUACACUGCUAUUUUUAGAUCUUUAUCUCAGAGAAAAUAAUUAUUCAAAUCACCGCUAAAGACCACCGUCACCACCACCGUGUUCAAGACCUUUACAUGGAUCCCUCCGAUGUGCACUUUCAACCUCUAAUGAUGCUAUUGGAAAGAAAGGACAUGAAAAUUAGCACUUUGGUCAGCUGUCACCCAUGGCCCAUGUCUAAUCCCACUUGUGACCACACAACAGAGGCCUGCUUUGACCAACACAUGUAGUGGAGGCCAGACGUGUCGCUGGAUUCUAGAGACCAUAUCAGCUCAGGAGCUGCAUUGAAAGACCCAUCAUCCAAAGGCAGAAGGACUCCCGGAUUCUCUCGGAUUGAAACCAAGUGUCGCCUGAAUAAAUUGUGCAUC